GUGCUUUAUUCCUUAAGAGUCAAGAUAUUCAUUUACUUAAAAAUCUAUGAAACUGUGUCUUUUAUGACCUCUUGUUGACACAAGUGAUCAUGAACAUUUAAGUCAAAUCUAACAAUUUUAAAAAUGACUGAAACAGCAUGAACAAACUUUGCAGACCCUUUAAAUCAAUAUUAACUUAAUCAUAAGUACAUACCUGCCAACUGUCACUAUUUGCGGGGGAUUUCCCCCAUGGAGGCUCCCAAAUGGAAAUUUUGAAACAGUAAUUUUGUCCACAAUUUUAUACAAAACAAUUAAUUUUACAAUGGCAAAAGGCUUGUAAAAGUAUGAAGAAGCCAAAAAACAACAUUAAAAUAUAUUUGAAGGCCCCUUGAAGGUUUUCUAGGACUGUGGCAGCCAUUUUGCACGUAAAACCCCCAUGGGCAUUUUGAAAAGUUGGCAGGUAUGUAAGUAACCUCUUUUUCAAAAUGUAAAUGAACUAUAAAAGCAUCUUUGCUAGCCAAUGGUAACCAUCCAGUCCCCUUCUAUUCAUCCUUGGCAGAUUUAAAAUAAAAUUUUGGAUCCACAAGGUAAGGACAUUCAUUGGUUACAGUUGUCAUCAGCUGAAUCCAAUCAAAAAGCACUUUUAAAUGACCAUGCGUAAAUGUAUAAAAUGUAAAUAAACACAUGCUGAUUGUGCAACAAGUCUUUACUCCCAAAACAUAUAACAAUAUUUAAAGUCAAAAGUUCUUAAUCAAAUUGUUGGGGUUCCUUGGUAUACUACUAGAGCAAAUUUUGGAAUGUCAAAGUAUGUUUUCAGUUUCUGCUUCACAAAAUUUGUAAACACUACACACUUUAUCAUUUUUACCCUUCAUCAUUGAAGAGAGUUCAAGUGCUGUCAUUGGUCAAGAAUGACGUAGUCCAAAUGGGAGUGACACUACUACCGAUAGAAGGUGCAGCAUUGUAAUCACAAGGUUUACUUAAUCUGCCAAGAGUUGAUAAGAAGGACAGUGAGUGGAUUGUAACCCCUGGCUAGCAAAGAUAACAAAAAGUGAAAUAAUAUAGGGAAUGUGUCAAAGAGAAAUAAAACAGCAGAAGGCCACCAAUAGGUCUUCACCACAGCAAUUAAAUUUCAC
rnacentral:lncRNA from 1 species